GUUUGAAGUUUUCCACACUAAAAAGUUUUUAAAAAUCGCCUUGGAGGAGAAGAAAAUUACACAAAAGCUGGAACCUGACUCGCGCCGCACCCUACUCCCUGGGGACGUCUACCAAAGCAUCCCUGCACCCACUUUCGUCCUCAGGGCCGAAGUUUCCCUCAAGGAAGCCUAUACGAGAUGAGGGCUGGAAGCCGGAAGAGAGCCCCGAAAACCUUUUAUCUGGAACCUCGUUCCCGAUUGUGUCUAGAGCAAACCAUGAGGGAUUUGAAAAGAGAAAAAUUUAAACCUUGUAUCCUGCAACUCCAGAAUAAAAUUAAAUGAGCCUGUGUCUGA